rnacentral:rRNA from 1 species
GACGAACGCUGGCGGCGUGCUUAACACAUGCAAGUCGAACGGAAAGGCCCUGCUUUUGUGGGGUGCUCGAGUGGCGAACGGGUGAGUAACACGUGAGUAACCUGCCCUUGACUUUGGGAUAACUUCAGGAAACUGGGGCUAAUACCGGAUAGGAGCUCCUGCUGCAUGGUGGGGGUUGGAAAGUUUCGGCGGUUGGGGAUGGACUCGCGGCUUAUCAGCUUGUUGGUGGGGUAGUGGCUUACCAAGGCUUUGACGGGUAGCCGGCCUGAGAGGGUGACCGGCCACAUUGGGGCUGCUGUACGGCCCAGAGUCUGACGGGAGGAAGCAGGGGGGAUGAGUGAACAAGGGGCGGAGGCCUGAUGCAGCAACGCCGCGUGCGGGAUGACGGCCUUCGGGUUGUAAACCGCUUUCGCCUGUGACGAAGCGGGAGUGACGGUAAUGGGUAAAGAAGCACCGGCUAACUACGU